CCUACGGGAGGCAGCAGUAGGGAAUCUUCCGCAAUGGACGAAAGUCUGACGGAGCAACGCCGCGUGAGCGAAGAAGGCCUUCGGGUCGUAAAGCUCUGUUGUUAGGGAAGAACGAGUACGAGAGUAACUGCUCGUACCUUGACGGUACCUAACCAGAAAGCCACGGCUAACUACGUGCCAGCAGCCGCGGUAAUACGUAGGUGGCAAGCGUUGUCCGGAAUUAUUGGGCGUAAAGCGCGCGCAGGCGGUCCUUUAAGUCUGAUGUGAAAGCCCCGGGCUCAACCUGGGAAUGGCAUUGGAAACUGGCGGGCUGGAGUGCGGCAGAGGGGGGUGGAAUUCCGCGUGUAGCAGUGAAAUGCGUAGAGAUGCGGAGGAACACCGAUGGCGAAGGCAGCCCCCUGGGCCGACACUGACGCUCAGGCACGAAAGCGUGGGGAGCAAACAGGAUUAGAUACCCUGGUAGUCCACGCCCUAAACGAUGUCGACUGGGUGUUGGGAGAGAGAUCUCUUGGUACCGUAGCUAACGCGUGAAGUCGACCGCCUGGGGAGUACGGCCGCAAGGUUGAAACUUAAAGGAAUUGACGG
rnacentral:rRNA from 1 species